GGUUGUGAAGCGUUUACCUCGCUCCAAUCUUUCUGUAUUAGGGAUGCAUCAUUUGGUGGCAAAGGACUGCUUAGUUUCAUCGAAGAUCUUUUCAAGAUUGCACCACAAUUGAGGUGUUUGGAAUUGGGGUCUGUCGGGAUAAUAGAAAGCGUCGCUCAGUUCAUUUGCAACAAUUUUUCAAACCUUACUCGUUUGCAGCUGUCAUAUUCGGCAGAGGUAUCGCGGGAUUUUCUCUCCGGAAUCGACCGGUUACCGCAUCUUUGGUAUUUAGAAUUAAAAUUGUUUAAUUUAAACGGAUUAUCUAUCAGCCCCAAUCCUCAAAACAAAGUUCGCUACCUUACAAUGCACCUUCCUAUUCAAUACUGUCAACUUGAUCUUCUUCGGCUGCUGGAAUGUUUCCCUCAACUCGACCGAUUGAACUUGAUCAUCCAAGGCCAGUCUGUUGAUAAAUCUACUGUCGAUGAGUUAUGCAAAAUACUUCCGACAUGCGCAAUC